CCCGCAGUGGAAGCUCUUAUGUCAUUGGCUGCUGCUGCUUCCGAGUACACCAAUCGUAAACUCUUUCCCAAGUAUGAAAUUGAAAGUGGAGAACAGUAGGCAGCCAAUGGGAAUGAUCACAAAUUCAGCAGCCAAUCCGCCUACGGCGUUUUGUGUCUUUGUCCAACGGGAAAGUGUGUUUCAUAUGGAGGGGCGUUACCCAAUCGCCAAUGGGCGGGCUCCGGCGGAACGGAGGAGCCAAUGAGCGCGAGAUGUUGAGUGACAGCUGUCCAAUAGAGACCCUCAGUGCUAGUACGGCUUGCAGCUUAAGCGCCUCCGCGGUCUGAGGAAUGUCAACUAUUCAACAUGGAGGCGGAGGUCGAUAAGCUGGAGCUGAUGUUCCAGAAAGCUGAUUCUGAUUUGGAUUACAUUCAAUAUAGGCUGGAAUAUGAAAUCAAGACCAAUCACCCAGAUUCAGCAGGAGAGAAAAAUGCAGUUGCAAUUUUAAAGGAAUUAUCAGCAAUAAAGUCUCGGUAUCAAGCUUUGUGUGCACGCUUUAAGCCACUUUCUAUUGAACAAAAAGAGAACAAGAGCCGCAUUUGUGCUACUCUGAGCAAGACAAUGACCACGAUACAAGAACUACAAAAACAGACAGAUCUGGAGCUAACUCAACUGACUGAAGAAGAGAAAGCGGUGACAGAGCAGUUAAAAUCUCACAUGCCGGACCUAUAAAGACAUGGAAUUUUAAAAAGGAACUCUAAUGGAGGAAAGAUCAAUUCCAAAGAGAUUCAGCAUGAUGUCGUAUUGAUGUCAUUAAUCCAUCAAGGAGUUGGAAGCUGAUAAGAAGAUUGAGAUUUUCCUUGAUCAUGAUGCUUUUAAUAUGAGAGGAAAUUGUAAGAAGGGUAUAUAUCAUAUAACUAAAAGCCAAGAAGGAUGAAAUGAAAAUAAAGAAAUUUAAAUACAAGAUAAUCUUGUGGUUUCAUUAAUGAUAUCCCUUAGCACUGUUUUUCAUCUGUCUUCUUUUUGUGUAGUUGGGAUAAUUUUAGAAGUUUUGGGAUUUUGUAAAAGAAUAUUUAUGUACAUGUCAAUCAGUAUGUGAAUAGACCAAAUACUUGUAUACUAUAAUUAUUUAGUGAAGCUCUGCCUGUUUCUGCCUAGUCAUUAAAGGCCAUGAUGAAAGGCUAAAGGCAUGCACCAUCACACUAGUGCGCCCCCCCCCCCCCCGCAAAUUUUUUUUUUGGGGGGGGGGGUUUCGAGACAGGGUUUCUCUGUGUAUGUUUGGAGCCUAUCCUGGCACUCACUCUGUAG
rnacentral:lncRNA from 1 species